AACGAACGCUGGCGGCAUGCCUAACACAUGCAAGUCGAACGGUAACGCGGGGGCAACCCUGGCGACGAGUGGCGGACGGGUGAGUAAUGCCUAGGAAUCUGCCCAUUAGUGGGGGACAACCCGGGGAAACUCGGGCUAAUACCGCAUACGUCCUACGGGAGAAAGCGGGGGACCGCAAGGCCUCGCGCUGAUGGAUGAGCCUAAGUCCAAUUAGCUAGUUGGUAGGGUAACGGCCUACCAAGGCGACGAUCGGUAGCUGGUCUGAGAGGAUGAUCAGCCACACUGGGACUGAGACACGGCCCAGACUCCUACGGGAGGCAGCAGUGGGGGAAUAUUGGACAAUGGGCGCAAGCCUGAUCCAGCAAUGCCGCGUGUGUGAAGAAGGCCUGCGGGUUGUAAAGCUCUUUACCCGGGAUGAUAAUGACAGUACCGGGAGAAUAAGCUCCGGCUAACUCCGUGCCAGCAGCCGCGGUAAU
rnacentral:rRNA from 1 species